rnacentral:rRNA from 1 species
UUUAAAAAGCGUCUAAGCUUAACCGUGUUCAUUUCUAAUUCCCCACACCCAUCAGACCCCUUUACCAACACUGAGAAUUUCUAUAAAAUUAUAGAACCUUUUAUGCUAAAACUAGUAACAAGAGAUCAUUACUCUCUACAAUGUAAGUAUAAGCCAGCAAGAACCCACCACUGGCAAAUAACAGGCCUAGACACAGGUAGCAACCCACUCUCACCCGAAAACACUACCCCACCCCCCUGUUAACCUGACACCAGAGCAUUUCAAGAAAGAUUAAAAGAAGGAGAAGGAAUUCCGCAAACAUUAGCCCCGCCUGUUUACCAAAAACAUCGCCUCUUGCCCACUAUAAGAGGUCUAGCCUGCCCAGUGACUCUGUUCAACGGCCGCGGUAUCCUAACCGUGCAAAGGUAGCGUAAUCACUUGUCCCCUAAAUAGGGACUAGUAUGAAAGGCAUCACGAGAGCUAAACUGUCUCCUCCCUCUAAUCAGUGAACCUAAUAACCCCGUGAAGAAGCGGGGAUAUCAGUAUAAGACGAGAAGACCCUAUGGAGCUUAAAACAUUAUAUCACCUGCCACCCCCACUUAAUUACCCCGGUCUACUUACUCUCAGCACACUGAUUUCAUGUUUUUGGUUGGGGUGACCGCGGAGAAAAACCCAUCCUCCGCGAUGAGGGAACCUUCCCUAAGCAAUAAGUCACAACUUUAAGUAUCAGAAAACUGACACUAUUGACCCAAUAUAUUUGAUUAACGAACCAAGUUACCCUAGGGAUAACAGCGCAAUCCACUUUGAGAGCCCCUAUCGACAAGUGGGCUUACGACCUCGAUGUUGGAUCGGGGUAUCCUAGUGGUGUAGCCGCUACCAA